AGAGAGAGACAUGCGCGCAUAUCAAUAAGCGGAGGAAAAGAAACUAACAAGGAUUCCCCUAGUAACGGCGAGUGAAGCGGGAAGAGCUCAAGUUUGAAAUCUUAAAGGGUUUCCCUUUACGAAUUGUAGUUUAAAGAAGUGUUUUCUGUUGAGGUUUUGGUAAAAGUUCUUUGGAAUAGGACAUCAUAGAGGGUGAGAAUCCCGUAUUUGACCUUUACUUUCAACUUUGUGAUACACUUUCAAAGAGUCGGAUUGUUUGGGAAUGCAGUCCAAAAUGGGUGGUAAAUUUCAUCUAAAGCUAAAUAUUGGCGAGAGACCGAUAGCGAACAAGUACUGUGAGGGAAAGAUGAAAAGAACUUUGAAAAGAGAGUUAAACAGUACGUGAAAUUGUCAAAAGGGAAGCGUUUGACACCAGUGUUGUUUUUCUGAAAAUCAAUUAAAGAACUGUUUAUGCUAAGUUGUUUAGACUUUAUCAGCUAACUGUUUAGUUUUGAGCUUUUCUUUAAUGCACUUUUCAGUUAACAAGUCAACAUCAAUUUCUUUUGCUGUAAAAAAGCUUGAGGAAGGUGGCUUGAGAUUCGUCUUAAGUGUUUAUAGCCUCUUGCCUAUGCAGUCGGAGAGAUUGAGGUCUGCAGCGUAGAUCCUUCGGGGCUAAAUGCAUUUGUGCUAAGUUAUAGCAUUUUAUAGACAACUUGUUGACUAUGAUUUGUCUUGUAGCUUACUCGCUUAUGUUAUUUUACCUACGCUUAGGAUGUUGACGCAUGAGAUAUACGC
rnacentral:rRNA from 1 species